rnacentral:rRNA from 1 species
UACGAAGGGGACUAGCGUUGUUCGGAAUCACUGGGCGUAAAGCGCACGUAGGCGGAUUCGUAAGUCAGGGGUGAAAUCCCGGGGCUCAACCUCGGAACUGCCUUUGAUACUGCGAAUCUCGAGUCCGGAAGAGGUGAGUGGAAUUCCUAGUGUAGAGGUGAAAUUCGUAGAUAUUAGGAAGAACACCAGUGGCGAAGGCGGCUCACUGGUCCGGUACUGACGCUGAGGUGCGAAAGCGUGGGGAGCAAACAGG